UGCAGCGCUCAGUUCCUUCCCAUUUUCCAUCCUUUUUUCCAUUGAUUUUCCUUCACCGUUGGAUCAUGCUAACCUCAUUCUACUUGGCUUCCAUCUAACAACCAAGAAGAAUCUAGAAAUGAAACAAAAUCAAGGGCUAAGAGAGAGGCGGUGAGCUGAGAUUGUUUAUGAACCAUCGAGAUGAAGUUUUAAGGGUUUGAAUCUGGUAUAAAUAGAAAACUAAGGGUUUUAGAAGAGGGGAUAGUGUGUGACGGCUAAAAAAUUUUGGAGAAGUAAGAGGAGUGGUGGCUGAGGGACGAAACUGAGAAGAAAGAGAGAACGAAGGAAGGAAAAGUGACGGGGGGGUUUCUGAGAGAGAACCUAAGCGGGAGAGAGAGAGCGGCCAAGCUGGAAAAGAAAGAAACGAGGGAGGAAGAGAAAGUUGUGGAGAGCAAGAAAGGUUACGGGCGGAACAUGAUAAGAACUUGGGAAGGAAAGAGAGCAGUUGAGAGUGGCGGCGGGAAAGGAAACAGAGAGCUACGGGCUGAGAAACGGAAAAGCUGAGAAAAAGGAGAGCUUGGGGAGGAAGACUCUGGAACAAGCCGAGAGAGAAGACUCAGGAGGUAACAAAUGCAUCUUGAUCUAGCCAACUCAUAUUUUAUCUGUUAGCUCCUUUUCCUGAUCUCUUUUGAUUCAAAGAUCUGUGUAUUAAUGGCUAAAAGAUAUAUUAAAAGAGCAUUAGACAUGGUUAGAGGUUAGAUCUUGAUGUCAUGGCUACACAGUUGUUAAUCUCCAGGUCCGGUCCUUUGCUUUCAAAAGGCAGAACCAGUUUCUUUUGUUUUUUUUAUAUCCAAAUCUCCUCUGUUUGUUUAUCCAGAGUUACAGCCAUGUCGAAGGGGUCAUUUUUCUUUUUGGGUUGCUUGAGCUCUUGGGUUGCUUGAAUUUCGUGAUUUGUUUGUUGUUUGACUGGUUUUCCAUGUACAUGUCUAGCGCAAGAUUCUUUCUUUCUGUCUUUGCUGCGCUUUCAUGUUCAGUUGCACCAUUGAAUCUGCUGGGAAUGGGCAAUCGUAUUUUGGGUGAAGUUAACAAUGUGGGUUUGAGAUUAUAGCAUUUGGGUUUGGUUAAAUGAAUCAGUGGGCUUGGUUUGAUUUAUUUCGCAUAGACAUCCCAGUCGAAUGAUGAAGUUGCGGAAGAAAGAACUCAGAAAAUUGCAGCAGAAAAAGCUUCGUCUAGGCUGCAUUUUUUUCGAAUGAAUGAUCAUGACUGUGGUUGACAAUGACUGUGAUUAUACUUUGUGAUGUUGUUGCGCUAAUUGAUAGGCUUGGUGUCGGCUUCUUUGUCCAUUUAACGAGUAUCCGAAACUGUGAAUCCAAUUUAGAAGUCAUGAACAUCUCUUGUGUUUAGUAAUCAGCAUAUGCAAUCAUCUCACUUCUUGUGUAUAUGAAGUAUGUAUAGUUAAUAAACUAAAGGUUGCAUUUUGGUUCUCGUUUGUGUGUGUAAUUUGGGUCUGACGAAUUCUAAGGCGGGCAAAGUACAAGAUUUGGGUUUGAUUGUUGUUUUGUCUUGAGAGUUUGGUGCUUGUUUGAUUUUGACAUGAAAACCCAGAACUUGAAACCAAUGAAUGAAUCUGGGUUCCUGCAAGUCCCUCAAUUCAGAUUUUUCCUUUUAGAUGUUUAGCACCACAUCUUGGUGAUGGGUUUAGGAAUUUGACAAGUACUUGGGAUUGGAUUUCUUGUUAAAACUGCUGCAUUUUUUUCUCUUUCUUUUACUGUCGGUCAACCCAGGUUUUCUGCUUUAAUCCUGCAACAAAACAUAGUAUUUGGUUUAGAUGAUGAUUGAGACUUGUAUCGUUCGUUUGUUUUGACCCAAAAUUUUGAUAUUCGUUGGACUUGUUUGCGUGAUGAAAUGGAAGAAUGCCAUGGUUGAAAGUUGCAGAAAUUUCCAGAUUUCGCAUGCCUGUUUUUUCUUCUAUGAAAUUUUCAGUUUUUGGGGUCACAAAGUGGAGAGAAUGCUUGGUGAAUUUGUUACUUUGGCCCAAGCUGUUGUUGGUUGAGUCGUUAGCAAUGUUUAGAUGGAAAUGAUUGCAUUCAAAAACCCAGAAAUUGUAGCUCAAGAAACCAGCGAAAGAAAAGGAAGUUCCUGCUAAGAAGAUGCAUGAACUGUCAAACCUUUUGGCCGCUGGUUUGCUGAGCUUGUUCCACAGCUUUAUCAUGUUUGCUCUUUGAUGAUUCUCUUGCCUUUUUUCUGUCUUGUGUAUCUUGGGCGUUAGUUUUCGAAAUAAAAAAGGCAUCAGCUGCACAAAUUUGGCUUGGAUUUCAUGUCCUUUCGGUUUGUACUUGGAUUAUUUCUGGAGACUCUCGGUGCGAAAAGCUGCUAAGUGUUUUGUUGCAUUUCUUGUGUUUCCUCGCUUUCCUGGCCUGGAUCUUCUCAGUUGAUGGAUGAGUGGAGACGUGUGUGUGAGUUAGGUUGAUAAAAAAUGAGUUUUUGUGCAUUUUUUGGGCAAUUCAUUCGCGUGGUUUGAUGCUGCAGAUAUGCAGCAGAACAUUGCCGAAAGCUUCAUGAGUAGUUGAAAGUUUUUUGUUGCAGAAACUUGUUUCCUUCGUAGCAUUUGCAUGCAUGUUGCAUGAAAACCUUCCAAGAAUUGCACUUUGCUCCCUGUUGUCUUAAAGUGAUGUUAUCAUGACCAAAAUAAUUCGAAAUUUGAUCAACCUUGUCCUUUUGAAUUCCAAUUUUCCUUUAGUACAUUUUAACAUACCGUUUGGAUAAAUUUCUUAGUGGAUUUUAGAAUGAAAUUUUGAGGUUUAAUAAUUUUUGAGGGAUUUAUGAUUUUGAUUUGGGUUUUAGUGAAAUUUUUGAGUAUUUUGUUGUUUAAUUGCAACAAGUGAUUUUUGAUUUAUUUUCGUGAAUUUUAGCAUUUGAUUUUGAUAAGUCUCAUCUUAAGCCAUCAAUUUUAGUAUUUCAUUUUUAACUUUUAAAACUUUCUACUUAGGACUUUGUUUGCUUUAAUACUUGAAUGGUUUAUUUUAUGUGAAUACCUUAAGUGAUUCCAUUUUGUGUUUAAAUUUUCAUUUCGUGUUUAGUUUUUAUUUCAUUUAUUGUUAAUUAAAGUGGUGCCUUGACCCUUUUUGUUAUUUUGGAGGGUAAAUAGUAAAUUCGUGUCAUUAAGGCCCCAACUCAAGGGAGGGGGCCGACGCGGGGAUCGCUCGGGAAGGUGUUUAGUGUUUUGAUUAUAGACGAGUGAACUUGUACUUGUUUUAAGUUGACUAACAAGGUGUAUGUAGUUGUCGUGGUGGUUGUAGUUAUCAGCUUUUCUAGGGUUUAUUUUCUGGUACUCGUGGUAUGUACGACUUGAUGUACUAGUUUAUGUAAUUCUGGAGAAUUGGAUG